CCUACGGUGAGCAGCAGUGGGGGAUAUUGGACAAUGGGGGGAACCCUGAUCCAGCGACGCCGCGUGAGUGAAGAAGUAUUUCGGUAUGUAAAGCUCUGUCAGCAGGGAAGAAAGCAAUGACGGUACAUGACCAAGAAGCCCCGGCUCACUACGUGCCGGCAGCCGCGGUAAGACGUAGGGGGCAAGCGUUAUGCGGAAUUACUGGGUGCAAAGGGAGCGUAGACGGGUAAGUAAGUCUGGAGUGACAGGCCGGGGCCCAACCCCGGGACUGCUCUGGAAACUAUUGGACUUGAGUGCAGGAGAGGUGAGCGGAAUUCCUGGUGUAGCGGUGAAAUGCGUAGAUAUUAGGAGGAACACCAGUGGCGAAGGCGGCUUACUGGACUGUAACUGACGUUGAGGCUCGAAAGCGUGGGGAGCAAACAGGAUUAGAUACCCUUGUAGUC
rnacentral:rRNA from 1 species